CCAGACCAAAAAUUUAGAAAAAAACCUAAAACCCUAAUUUUCAUUUCUCUAUCUUACUCAAAUUCUCACUUCAUUUCUUCUCAAUUUUCAAAUCUCAAUCCCUCGAUUCAUUCCUCACAAUAAUGAGACAUCAAUGCCGCAUUCUCCAUCUUCUCCUCCGCACUCACCGCAAAAUCCCCAAUCAAUCUCAGGUACUCCGCUCUUUCUCUCACACUCCUCUCCGUUUCAAUCCCACUCAUUCCAAAUUCCCCAUAAACCCUAGCUUCCGUCAUUUCUCUUCCGAACCCGUUCUCACUGAAGUCGAUCCUGAUCACACCGUCAUCGUCGAGAUAUUCUCGAAACCUCGAGAUCUCGAUGAUGUUAAGAAACAGCUCGAUUCAAGUAACGUUUCGAUUAGCCACGACGCGGUGAAUGCUGUUUUGAGGAAGCUGCAGUCUGAUCCUGAUUCGGCGAAGAGGUUUUUCGGAUGGGUAUCGGAGAAUCAUCCCGAGAAAUUAAGCUCCAGAUCGUAUAAUGCGAUGCUGGGCGUUUUGGGGUUAAAUGUGGCUGUUGAGGAGUUUUGGGAUUUGGUUGGGGUUAUGAAGAAAAAGGGUUAUGGGGUUUCGAAAUGGGUGAAUGAUAGGGUUUUGGAGAGUUUUGAGAAGGGGGGAUUGGAUGGUGAGGUUGUGAAGUUGAAGGGGUUGUUUGAUAAGGAAACUGAUGAGAGGAAGUUUCAUAAUUUGUGUAGGAUUGUGAGGAGAAAUGUAUGGAGUGAUGAGGUUGAGAAGGAGAUUAGGGAUUUGAAUGUUGUGUUUUCGAGUGAGGUGGUUAAGUUGGUUUUGGAGAGUUUAGGUUCGGAGCCGAAUAAGGGGUUGAUAUUUUUCAGGUGGGUGGAAGAGAGUGGCUUGUUUAAGCAUGAUGAGGGUACGUAUAAUGCGAUGGCGAGGGUUGUUGGAAGGGAGGAUACGAUUGAUCGGUUUUGGAAGGUUGUUACUGAUAUGAGGAGUGCUGGAUUUGAGAUGGAAGUGGAGACGUUUGUUAAGGUUUUGGGUCGGUUUUGUAAGAGGAGAAUGAUUAAGGAGGCUGUUGAGCUUUACGAGUUUGCUUUAGCUGGUGCAAACAAGCCUACGUCGACGAGUUUUACCUUUCUGUUGAAAAAAGUUGUUUCUUCUAAGGAGUUGGAUAUGGAUUUGUUUUCUAGGGUUUUGAAGGUUUUUACCGGAAAUGGAGGUACUUUGACUGAUUCCAUUGCUGAUGCUGUAUUGAAAUCUUUAACAAGUGUUGGUAGGAUUGGAGAGUGGAAUAAGGUUUUGAAAGAAAUGGAAGAUUGCGGGUUUGUUGCUAGUGGUAGUUUGCGGAGUAAAAUUGCAUUUCGACUUGGGGCUACCGGUAAAAAGGAACAAGCUAAUGAGUUUGUGGAUAGAGUUGAAGCGUAUGGGUCUAGUCCAGAUCACAAGAUGCGUAAAUCGUUAGUCGAGGGGCAUUGUGUAGGUGGGAACCUUGAUAAGGCAUUUGAAUCUUUCAAAGAGAUGGUUGAGAAAGAGGGAGUUGCAUCUGCUGGAUAUACUUUUGAUUCGUUGAUGAAUUCAUAUUGCCAAAUGAAUAGAGCAAAAGAUGCGUACAAGAUUCUAUGUCAAUGGGUGAACGAAAAAGAGUUAAAGCCUCGGCAUUCAACUUACAAGCUUCUGAUAACCAAGUUAAUGGCUCAAGGAGGAUUCAAAGAUGCCUUAAAUCUUUUGGCUGUAAUGAGAUCCACUGGAUUCCCUCCUUUUACCGAACCCUUUAUCGAACACGUAUCAAAGCGCGGAAGUGGUGAUGAUGCUGUUCUGUUACUCAAGGCAAUGACCUCAAAGAAGUUUCCGUCUACGUCUGUUUACCAUGUAAUGUUUAACGCCUUCUUCAAGCAAGGAAGGCAUGGAGAAGCACAAAAUUUCCUUUCCAAAUGUCCAAGCUACAUUCGUGACGAUGCCGAUGUUUUGGAUCUCUUUUAUUCAAAGAACUCCAAAGAAUCUAAAGAAGCUGCUGCUUCUUCUGAAGUGUUGGCUGCUUAAGUUUACAAAAUGUAUCUCAUAUUGUACUCUCGAGAAGAUUGUGCUAUGGCAUUUGUUCAGGAAUUUUGCAUCAUUAUAAUGUCGAUUUAAAGACAACAAACAUAUACUUUGCUUGGUGCCUCAUAUCGACGACGGACUUUGUAGUUUUCUCAACAUUCUGGUUUUGAUUGACUUAAUAUAGAUUGUAGAUCAAGAUGAUAUAUUCUGGUUCAUGCGUUGUUUUGAACAGCAUUAUCAGAGAUUGAUGUCUUUAAUUUACCCUGUAACUUGUUUUGCCUUGGACUGAACAAUUUUCAAAAGAGACAGUGUUUUGCCUUGGUAUUCUACACUGACCUAUAUCAACUUUAGUAAUUGGAUUUGGGCAUUAGACAUGAUAGCAGUUUUAACUAUGUAACAGAAAAUUGCCAGAAAAUCCCACAUAUCUGUUGGUCAUGUUUUGAUUAGUAUAUUUUGUGAUAUGAUAUAAGGCAUUGUUACGUUUUACUGUGUAUUGUAGGUAAUUUUCUCUUAAUGUCAGUCCCAUGAAACUACAUACAUUGAUGAUUGGUAUUUUAUGUUAUGUAUGGAUUGAUGGAAUACGUAGGAAUGGACGGAAUGAAAUGGAAUAUGUAGGAUGAGUGUACCGCCAUUUUCUUACUCUCCUAUCUGCACCUAAUGAGAACAUGGUUUUGUUAUUUAUGUGUUAAAAUAUUCAUUGAAAUGCAAUCCACUUGGUUCCAUUCCAUUAUGCUUCUUUCCAUUCCACUCUUUUUGUUUUGAAAUUUUUAGAGCUCUUAAUAUUCUUAAUAAAGAGGGAACUAUGUAUGCUUCUUGUAUCAU